AUAUGACAGUAGAUAAGCUGCUUAGGAGAAGGGGCAUAGGUUGGCAUCUGUUGAAAGCAAGCGAGGAACUAAUUUCUCAAAUGAGUUCUUCUAGAGAGGUUUACUUGCACUGUCGAAUGAUUGAUACUGCUCCACUCAACAUGUAUAGAAAAGCUGGAUAUACCAUUGUUGAGACAGACAACAUUUUUAUCUUGUUGGCAUUGCAGCGACG
rnacentral:misc_RNA from 1 species